rnacentral:misc_RNA from 1 species
UUUCCGUAGGUGAACCUGCGGAAGGAUCAUUACUGAGUUGUCAUGCUGUUCGAUCCUGGCAGACAAUUUUUGCAGUCAUGUCCUUGCCCUAACAAUCAUCUUCCAAACACCUGGGCACAUUUUUAAGCUUUUCUUUAGUUUGUUGCCGCUCUUUUGUGCUUUUCGCACAUUCCUUUAACUCAUUAUCCGCUAUUAACAAUAUUGAACGUGCACUCUGCCGCACGGCUAAUCAUAUAACACAACUUUAAUCACCGGAUCUCUUGGCUCUCGCAUCCAUGU